GAUGAACGCUGGCGGCGUGCCUAAUACAUGCAAGUCGAGCGAACGGACGAGAAGCUUGCUUCUCUGAUGUUAGCGGCGGACGGGUGAGUAACACGUGGAUAACCUACCUAUAAGACUGGGAUAACUUCGGGAAACCGGAGCUAAUACCGGAGAAUAUUUUGAACCGCAUGGUUCAAAAGUGAAAGACGGUCUUGCUGUCACUUAUAGAUGGAUCCGCGCUGCAUUAGCUAGUUGGUAAGGUAACGGCUUACCAAGGCAACGAGGCAUAGCCGACCUCAGAGGCGGGUCGCCCACACUGGAACGGAGACACGGUCCAGGCUCCUACGGGAGGCAGCAGUAGCGAACCUUCCGCAAUGGUCGAAAGCCUUGCGGAGCAGCGGCGAGCGAGUGAUGGAGGUCUUCGGAUCGUAAAACUCUGUUAUUAGGGAAGAACAUAUUUGUAAGUAGCUGUGCACAUCGUGACGGUACCUAAUCAGAAAGCCACGGCUAACUACGUG
rnacentral:rRNA from 1 species